ACGACUUUGUACACGCGAUACAGACCCUAAAAAUACACGCAACGACUAAAAAUACUACUUCAUCGCUGCUAAAUACGAUUCGUUUCGAAGAAGCUUCGGCGCAAGGGAAGAAUUGCAUCCGCUUAUAUGCAGCCGUAUUGGAAACGCGAAAGCAAUCUCCAGCGAGGGCUUCUCUUCCAGAUCCAUGGUGCACGCACAGGGCGACGAGGGGUAGCCGAGGGUGGGGGCGACGCAAUUAGGAGAGAACAUAAAUCCCGCAGUUUAGCACACUUCCUCGUAGCGCCGGUAGAUCGGAGAAUACAAAUCAAUCGGGGUAACGGCCGACUGCGCAUUUAAUUUCCAUUCGGCUUCUGAUCCAUGCAGACAGGGGUGGGCUACGGGGUAGCAGAGGGGACAAAUAGGACAAACAGGAUGACGGAGGAUAGGAGAAAUUGUACGGAUACAAAUGGGAGAAAGAAGAGAUAGGAGAAAAGGAUAGUAUGGUAAUAGAGGAGCAGGAAGAAGAGGAAAACGGUGGAAAGUGGGUUAAGGGGAAAGGAUGAGAGAGUAAUUUGCGAACAUCGACGCAAAGAAGAUUUAGGACAUGGAGGAUGGACGAUUGGAUGGUUCGGAAAGGAGGGAAGACAGAGACAAAAUGUGGACCUAUUAGAUUGAACGUGGCAGGAGGAAGAAUUGAGGGAGAAAAGGGUGACGUGAAAAGAGAGUAGAGAAUGAGCGAGAUAAGGAAGUACGAGGUGUAAUGGAAUAUAGUCAUAAAAGUGGACUCUGAUUAGUGCUUUAUUUUGUAAGCUUUUGAAAUGUAAAAUGACAAAACGAUUGAAAAUUGGCUAGUACGGUGGGUGGAAAUAAAAAUUGUAAGGCAUUAUUUG
rnacentral:misc_RNA from 1 species